rnacentral:rRNA from 1 species
UUGUAGCCUGCUAUGGUAUUACUUAGUGGCAGACGGGUGAGUAAUGUAUAGGAAUCUACCUAGUAGUACGGAAUAAUUGUUGGAAACGACAACUAAUACCGUAUACGCCCUACGGGGGAAAAAUUUAUUGCUAUUAGAUGAGCCUAUAUUAGAUUAGCUAGUUGGUGGAGUAAUAGCCUACCAAGGCAAUGAUCUAUAGCUGAUCUGAGAGGAUGAUCAGCCACACUGGAACUGAGAUACGGUCCAGCCUCCUACGGGAAGCAGCAGUGGGGAAUAUUGGACAAUGGGCGAAAGCCUGAUCCAGCCAUGCCGCAUGAGUGAAGAAGGCCUUUGGGUUGUAAAGCUCUUUUAGUGAGGAAGAUAAUGACGGUACUCACAGAAGAAGUCCUGGCUAACUCCGUGCCAGCAGCCGCGGUAAUACGGAGAGGGCUAGCGUUAUUCGGAAUUAUUGGGCGUAAAGGGCGCGUAGGCUGGUUAAUAAGUUAAAAGUGAAAUCCCGAGGCUUAACCUUGGAAUUGCUUUUAAAACUAUUAAUCUAGAGAUUGAAAGAGGAUAGAGGAAUUUCUGAUGUAGAGGUAAAAUUCGUAAAUAUUAGGAGGAACACCAGUGGCGAAGGCGUCUAUCUGGUUCAAAUCUGACGCUGAAGCCCGAAGGCGUGGGGAGCAAACAGGAUUAGAUACCCUGGUAGUCCACGCUGUAAACGAUGAAUGUUAAAUAUGGGAAGUUUACUUUCUGUAUUACAGCUAACGCGUUAAACAUUCCGCCUGGGGACUACGGUCGCAAGAUUAAAACUCAAAGGAAUUGACGGGGACCCGCACAAGCGGUGGAGCAUGUGGUUUAAUUCGAUGCAACGCGAAAAACCUUACCACUUCUUGACAUGAAAAUCAUACCUAUUC